UAAUGAUGAACUACUCCACGAGUUGACAUUACAGGCCAUUGAGCAACACAACGAAGAGGAGGGAACCCAUUUGGAAUAUGUGAAGCAUGAAAAGGCAAAUGCAUUGCCGGUGAAGGGUUAUUUGUUUUGGAUAACGUUUUGGGCGAAGGAUCUAUCUUCUCCAAACUCAGAGCCUAGACGUUAUCAGACAAAGCUUCAUAGUUGGGAGGAGGAACCCCAUGUUUUGUUUCUGAGGCCAAGGCCGACAGAUGAAGAGAUUGCUGCUGUUCACGUGGAGGCUCCUUCUACGGACCCCGA